UCCAGUCUGUCUUCACUAGCCCGCCUUGUGUUGCCCAAUCGUCUGCAUUCCAUAAGGUGCAGUACACUCUCAUGGGAUGGCUCUUUGGAAACGGAAUGCCAAUUGCUUCAUGAUUGUUGAACAAUCUAAUAGGACUAUUGUCCACCAAGAAACUGAAUUUCACCAAGUGCGGAUUAAUGAAAAUGAGAUACAACGGAUUUAUAGUUACAUGAUGCGCCGAGAAUUCCACACAAUUGAGUAGGUGUGGGAAGCUGCUGCCAGAUCGAACCAGAGAUGGAAUUGUUGUUCCUUGUUCCCUUUUCCUUGGGAGUACACAUUGGUAUGAACAGUGUUUGGCUAUACAGACGUAUUGCCAAGAAACUCGAAGUCAAAUUGACCAUGACCAUCUCCUUGAGACGAUAACUGCACAUGGAGCCAAACAAUUUAAUGAUCAAUUUAACUAACCAUUCUUUAAAUAAGUUUGAGGUUAUCCCCAAAUUGAAGGACAGCUAAAGACUUACGAAAAAAGUGGUCACGGUUCCAGCUGAGUUUCAAGGAACAAGUUUGAGUUGCAUGUCGAAUCUUCCAAACAAGUAUUCGUUCUUGGACUGAAAUCCAGAACCAGAAUACUGGUCAGCUGACAACGUCAACAUGCUUCCACCCUCGACUACCUUUCCACGCCCGUCACCCCAAGUAAUAUCAGCAUCUCGGUAGAAGUUACCAGCUGUAGGGAUUGUGAAACAGGCCAGGACCACCGAAAGUGAAAGCGUCAAUAAAUUUGCUAAAGCUUUAGAAUUAGAAAAGACUGUUAUUUCGAGAAGAAUAAUUCUCCCUGUCCCGGGUUGGGAGCAGGGUUCUUUCGAGAAGAACAGAUAGACUGUGUGUUUGUUUUGAUGAGUGAGAGUCGGAUUCUGAAAACCCUUUAUACAUAGAUUUUGCACUCCCCUUUUGAAAACUGUCAACUAAGCUGGACGCCAUGGAUUGAGAGAUGGCCAAGAUUAAUUGUUUCCGCGCAAGGUUUGAGCCUUUAUUAUCUCUGGCAUGGGUCCACCCUGAGAGGUUCUUUUUAUUUUUGUAGGCGGUGCUUGGAUCAAAAUAUACCAACCACGAUUACAUUGUUCAAAAUUAUUGAGUUAUAUACGCAACUUAACCGAAAAUUAUGAUACAAAAUUAAAUCUCGUAUUUGAUUCUUAAAUCUCAUUAUGCAAUAUAAUUAUUAUUUUUUUUAAAGAUAAUAAUUUAAUUAGGCAUCAUAUUUUGUAUUUUCAGUGAACCUUCUCGUUUAGAUAAUUAUAAUGCAAGCCACAUUUACAUGUCAAAUCGAUUAGGCUGUCUUUUCAAGUUACGGUUUGGUCCUUAUAUAUUAUUGUUAUUAUUAUUUUAAAUUUAGUACUACUUAAAAUGUAUUUUCAUUUUCAAUUGUUAGAAAAUAAUUUAUAAAUAUUAUUUAUUAGCAGUAGUAGAUGUACGGCUAUUGUUAGAAAUUUAUACUAAAACCAAGAAACUCUUUUUGUUUUAUGUUUGAUUUUUGUUUUUGUUUUUGCGAUUGUUGAUACUAAGGUCUAGCUCAAGUAUAAAAUCGAAGUCUUACCGAGUCAGUGAUUAGAGUUUCCUCUUAGUUAUCGGGUGAAAUAUGUAUUAAAAAAAAAAAGUCUUGUUGCCAUUGAAUUUCUUAAGUGUUUCUAAGAAUCUAGUAAAUUAGCUUGCAAUAGGUUGAACCUUGAAACUCUAGACAAUAUUGAAAGAAUUACUGUUUAGUCUCAAAAUUUAAAUUAUGUGUGACAAAGGUCUAAAACUAUUGGAAUUUUUUAUAGAAGCGUGAUAAUUAAUUCUAUUAUUGAGGAUGAAAAAAAUAAUAAAAAGAUAUAGUUGGUGUACUUGCAAUAAUUGAUAGUAUCCACACAAGAAGCCUUCUUGUGUGUAAUAUGAUUUCAAUAGGAGAUAGCUACGAUGAAUAAUAAAUAAUAACGAGAAUUAGGAGUUAAAUGUUUCAUUAGUUGUUGAACUUGUACCUUUGUUACGUUUUACUUACUAAACUUUAAAAUGCUUUCAACUAGCCAUUGAACUUUAACACGUAUCUCUUACUCACAAUUUUAUAUAGAUCAUUGAACUUUAAAAUAUUUUCAAGUGAUCAUUGAAUUUGAACACAUUGCACUCCAUCACUCACUCACUAUAUUUUAAUAGUCACUGAACUUAUAUCUAUAUCAUGCUUUACAAACUGAACUUUAAAAUGCUUUCAAGUGAUCAUUGAAUUUCAUAAUAUUUUUUUAGUAAAGUUUAUUUUAUAUGAUAUUCAACUUAGAUCAAGAAAAUAAAAUAAAUAUCAACUAGAUAAUGAGUUCUCAAUCUAAGAUGGAGAGUAUUGAUAUUGAUCAAGAAGACAUGAUUUCUCUAAUCGUCGAAAGCUAUGUUCAAGAGGAAAAUAGAAUACUAGCUUCAAAUUAACAUAAACUUUAAUUUAGAUCAUACUCUUCUUUUAUGUCGAGAAAAUAAAAUAAAUAAAUUAUCUUUUAUCCUAAUUGAAAUCGUAGACUGAAAUCAAGAAAAUAAGAAAAAUUAUAUUUCAAACAAACAAUGAAAUUUUCGAUUUAGAAUUAAUAAUAUUAAUCAAGAUGAACAAAAUAUAAUUUUUAGAGUUUUCACAACGUAAUUCAAGAGGAAAUAAGGGUGCUGUCUUCAUUUAUGUUAUUUUAUACUUCAAAAUUUUUAAUUUUUGAACAAGUGACCUCAGCGAGUAAAGUCAGUGACCGCUUGAAAGCAUUUCAAAGGUUGACAGAUGAAGUGUGACAGAGAUAUAAGUUGACAAAGUAAUGAAAGAAGUGAGUAAGUGAUGGAAUGUAAUGUAUUCAAUUUUAGUGAUCACUCAAAAAUAUUUUUAAAGUUCAGUAACUAAUGAAACAUGGUGAAUGAGUGAAUAAGAGAGGGUAGUGUGUUAAAUUUUAGUGACCAUUGUGAAGUAUUUUGAAAUUCAGUGUCUAAAGUGUAAUGGAGGUAUAAGUUCAGUGACUAAUGACACACUUAACUUUGAGAACUCGUGAUUGAAUUGAAUAUAUGUUCAAAAUGAAUAAAGAUGGUAAAAGUUACAGUUCCUCAAAUUUGCAAAACAUGGUACCUCAGUCUUCAUUCUCAUUUUCGUGGCACAUCCAUCCCCAAACUUUUAGAAGUGGUGCAAGUUGCUCUCAAUUAGAUGAAAAUCAUUCAUUUUGUCCUUAAAUCCUUUCAUGCCUUCCAUGUGGGUUACAUACCGAUCAACAAAUUCGGCAAUUAGUAGUCCAUGUUUUAUUUCCUGUUAUCCGACAAUUGGUUAUAAUUAAAGGUCUCACCAACAAUUUUGGCUUUCUGUAACUUUAAAGAACAACAUAUGCUCCAAAAGAUGUUAUAAAAAUGAGCAGAGUGGUCUUUUAGUAAUAUACGAUUACAAAAUUAGACAUAAUCAGCAACGACUAAUGUUAGCCGUCAUGAAAGUAUUCCUUGAUGGCUAAAAUAUUAGUUGUCUUAGAUUUUUUAAUUUUUAUUUUUUUAUAAUGGUUAAUUAAAAUAUGUGUUUUACAUGUCUAUUCUGACUUAUAAGCUUGAUAUGUAUUUGUAAAUUAAGUUAAUUUCUACUUAAUUUAAUGUGUUAGAGUUGUGACUCAAAUAGGAGUUGUAAUUCAAUUGCGUGUUGUUGGUUUGGAAAGGAGUAUAACUGCAUUCAACAAUAAGGAAACAAAAUCUCGUUGAAAUUGGGUCUCCUAAUUAUAAUAUAUUUUCUCACCAUUUAGGACUCUUAUAGGGUUUGAAACAUGGCCUAUAAAUAUAAGACUCAUCUAUCAGCUUUGUUUAAGCAUUAUUGUUGUGUCUGUAAUUUCUCUCCAUAUUGUCAGUUUAUAAUAUAUCGUUUCUCUACGAUAAAUUCUCUUUGUUUAUUUAUUUACUUUCUAAUUUUGUUUUUGGUUGUAACCUUUAUUACUUCACAUCGUCAUUAAAUCUCAUUUUUUACAAUCUUUUGGGAUCAACAAGUGGUAUCAGAGCUUGGUUCUUCUUCUAUGGAUUGGUUGAUGUUUUUUCAGAUAUGACUACCAUGAAAUAUGACAUUCUACUAUUGGAUCGCAAUAGAAGAUUUUCUUUUUGGCAAGUAAAGAUGAGGGUUAUUCUGGCGCAGUUGGAUUUGAAUGAUGCGCUGCUAGGUUUUAAGAAUAUGCCAGCUGAUUAGGCAACAGAAGAUAAAUAACGGAAGGAUUGGAAGGCUUUAUCGUAGAUUCAUCUUCAUUUAUCCAACAAUAUUCUGCAGAAUGUCUUGAAGGAAAAAACAGUGGCUGCCUUGUCGUUGAAAUUAUAGCAGUUUUGCAUGACUAAAAGUCUCAUGAGCAAAUCGACUCUAAAGUAGAAGCUAUAUUCUCAUUGCAUGGCGGAAAGAGGGUCACUGGAGGACCAUACUGCUGUGUUUAACGAAAUAGUUGCAGAUCUGGAGACGUUGCAGGUUAAGUAAGAUGAAGAGGAUUUGACCUUGAUCAUGUUGUGUUCACUGACUCUUAUGCAUCGUUUUGGGACACCAUUUUGUAUAGUCGGGAUAUUUUGACUAUAGACGACGUCUAUGAUGCUUUGCACUCAAAGAAGAAGUUGAAGUAAUUGGUUGGAGCUACAUUGAGGGAUGAGGAAGUUCUUAUAUCUCAUGGUGGUCGACGGAGGGGUAGAUCAAAGAAUAACAACAAUUUGUUUUGCUUCUAUUGCAGGCUAGGGGAUAUAUUCAGAAAGAUUGUGAUAAGUUUCAUGCUAAAGGUAAUUUAGUUGCAAAUCAUGGAGCGCAACCUUUGACUUUAGACGAAACAAUUGUAGUUGAGGAUUUUUGAGACGAUGGAGAUGUGAUGAUGACUGUGAUAGCUGACGUGGAAUCUAGGCUUGACGAGGAGUGAAUUCUUGAUUCGACAUGUUCGCAUCAUAUGUGUUCCAAUCGAAAUUUUUUCAGACAUAUAAGGCUGUUCAGCAAGGUGGCGUUGUAAUGGAAAAUAACUAGUCUUGCCAUAAUGCUGGGAUUGGUCAAGUUAGUUUAGGUUGCGGAAUGGGACAAUCAGAACAAUUGAUCAGGCUCGACAUAUUUCAGACCUGAAAAUGAAUCUUAUUUCGCUUAGUACUCUGGAUGUAAAAUGAUAUAAAUUCUCUAGUGAAAGUGGAGUCUUGAAAGUUCGAAAGGGUGUCCGGGUUGUACUAGAAUGACGAAAAAUGUCUCAGUUGUACAUCUUACAGGGGAGUGUAGAACCAGUUAAGAGACAUAUGGAUAAGUUUAGUACUGUGGUGGAUAUUCAAUUUGGUACAGUACCUCUUGUGACGAGUUCUACGUAGGUUUAGAACAUUGCUCGAGGGUGCGUUGAUGAUUCUGCUUUGCCACUAAUUUCAACGGCUGUACUGUGUUCAGUUGCUAGGAUUGGAUCCAUUGAGCGUAGGUAUCGUGGUGUCAGUGGUGUCUGUAAUGUUUUUGGAGACAUUAAAGGCGACAGUUCUAACAAGGGACCUUCUGUUUAGGCAUUUUGUAUGAUUUCUGUUACAGGGUGUGCUUCUACCCUGUUUCGUAAACAUUAAUUACUUAGUAAAUUUUUGGGAACUUGGGAGUAGGGUUUAGGUUUCGCUUGUGGACGCUGUGCGAAGACGAUGGUUUAUAUGGAGAGUUUUAGUUAUUACAUUGAGGAGAUUUGCCAUUUCAUUUCGACGCAAAUGUGUUUAUUUCUCAGGUGAAGAAAUUUUGUGGAGCUCUACUCAUUGCAAGGAAAUUUGAGUCAAGGUGGAGAUUUUUAGAGUUGUGACUCAAAUAUGAGUCUUGAAUAACAUGUUGUUGGUUUUGGAAAGGAGUUUAAUUGCAUUCAACAAUAAGGAAACAAAAUUCAGUUGAAAUUGGGUCUCCUAAUUGUAAUAUAUUUUCUUUCAGAGUAUUGGGUACUAUUGGAUCUCUCUCUCACUCCAAAAGCUCACCCCAAAAGCUAGCUCAUGAGGUGAAGCUUUUUCUCAUACUUAUAAACUGAAUACCAAUUCUAUCCACAGCCGAUGUGGGAUAAUCUCAACAUAAUGUCUGUCAUCGUAAAUUAAAAAAAAAAAAAGAUCCAAAGUUGGAAGUACUUCGAGUAAAAAAAUAUACAUAUAUUUCAAGAUAAAUUGGAGAUGGUCUGAAGCAAUUAUAUUAAGAAAGCAAUUGGAGGAAAUUUACUAAUUUUAAGAGUGAAAUUCAAAUUACAAGAAGUCUGGGACUAAUUGCACACUUUCGGAACUUAAGGAAGACCAAUUUUGGAUGACUAUGGAGAUUCGUGGACCAAUGUCUUUGGAGUUGUGAGAUUAAUAUUAAAGAUUUGGAUUGAAAAGGAAAAAAAUUCGUUCAAUAAAAGCUUGAAGCAGGGACCAAAAUGCAAAAAGAGAAAAUUGGAGGAUUGCAACUGCAGGCUACCCGUGGUCACCUUAAAGGGGCUAGCCGUGGUUCGAUCGCAUUAUGCAAGCCGCAGUCCAAUCGUCUAUAUAGUUGUUUUUCACUAUUAUUUUAAUUGCGGGUAUUUUGAUCCUUUUGUGCACAAGGUUUUCAAGGCAAACAAGACACUAUAUAGAGACCUAAUUUAGGUCAAAUUAAGGGAGAAGAUGCAAGAGAAUGCAUGGAGAAAGAAUAUAGAACAAAAUAGUGAAUCGAACAUAAGUUAUCAAGAUAUUAACGUGAAAAAGACAGAUUCUUGGGGUGAUUUUUCAUAUUUUUCUAUUUUUAUACUUUUAUAAUGGUAAUUUUUUCAUACAUUUUUGUGUUUAAUUUCAAUUUUCAAGUUUUGCUUUUGAUUUUACGAUUACUGAACGUAGGGUUUUUUUGAUUGCAAGAAUAAAAUAUGGGUGGAAAGAAAACAAAUUUUAGAGAAUUGAAUUACUUAGAACCUGUUUGAUUAGGAAUUGUCAAUUAAUUAUUUUUGAUUCGUAUAAUUUUUCAUCUAGAUAAUGUUGAAAUUUCCAUCUUUUUGUGCUUGUUUGACUUUAUUUUUCAAAAAAUUGUAUUUUUUUGCCAACUAUUGGUGUUUGCCGUCUGUUUCCAAAUAAACAAUUUACCUAAUCAAGUAAAAAGAACAUCAAGCUAUUUCAAGUUUCAAAUUCCAUAAAAAAAAAAAAUAAUAAUAAUAAUAAUAACGCAUAUUCAUUCACAUAAAUUAAGCUUUCUACAAAUAUGAAGCAAAUUACAAGCAUUUACCCAACCCUUCAACUCCCAAAGGAAAAAAAAAAAAAAAAAAAAAAUGGAAUCACCAAAGGAAAAAAAAAAAAAAAAAAAAAAAAACGGUAUACACUACUUGCAAAUAUUAUUUUUAUGCAAGCCUUACGAAAUUGGAGAUUUUGAAGGGAAAAAAGAGAUACACAGAGAGAUGAGAUCGGAACCAAAGAGCAUGCACCGUUGGUAUUGAUUACAAUUGCAUUCUUUUUCCACGAUUACUUUUUCUUGCAGGUUUUCAAUUUCGGGAGCUUCUAUGUUUUCUUGGUUGCAAUCCACGCACUCCUCCCCUUCAACGAUAGGGUUAUGUGGACAUUUUUUGUUUGACAUCGUGGGUAUUCCAAAAAUGGGGCAGUUCUGGGUGAGAAAUGGGAAAGUGAUGUGAGAAGAAAGAGAAAGGGAAAUAGGGUUUGACGUGAGAAGAAGUGGGUUUGUUUCAAUCGCCUAGAAAAUAAAAAACCAGCUCACCCGUGGGAAUUGCAUUUCCUCAUUUUUGUGGAAUAAAGGGUAACGUGAGUGAAAGUGAGAAAAGCAAUUGUCAAGAAAAUAUUUCCUAUCAAAUAGGCUAAAAAGUGGAAAAUGGUGGAAUAAUUUCCAUCUUCCAUGGAAAAUUUGGCCUAUCAAAUUGGGCCUUAGUUAAUUUAUUAAUAUGACAAAUUAAUUUAUGAAUGUAACAAACCGAGAGGUGCUUAUAUAUUUAGACCAUAUGAUAAAAUUCGAUAAUUGAGUAAAAGCAAUGUACACAUUUACUAAUUUUGAGAUCUUUAGUUGAAAUCUUAGAUUGAUUUAACACGUAUAGUUGUGACUUAUUUAGAUUUAUAUAGACAUAUAGUAAGUUGACUCAAUUAGAUAAGGUUGAUUUCAACCAGAGAUAUUGAUUUAAUUAGUAAGUUCAAUCAAGUAUACAGCUAUAAAACUGAACUCGUGAGGCGAGAUUAAAAAUGAUAAUUAUAUAUGGUGAAAUCGUGAAACACAAACUUCGAUAAUCAUAUUUAUUAGCUUAAUCAAAGUUAUCCAUAAUCUAUAAAACCAAUUUUGUUUAUUUGCUUUUAUAUUUCUUAAUUAAUAUUAGUUCAAUCAAAACUUUCCAUGAAAUUUUCACCAUAUUGUAGAAAUUAAUAAAAUUAUGGAAAACGUUUGGAUAAAUUUUCAACAGACAAAGAAUGCCUGUCGUUAAAUAAGUUAAUAAAUUAUAAAAAACUGAAUAGUACUUAGAAAACAUUCACUAAAAAUUCGGAAUUAUUUUUUAGUUAGUAAUAUCAAAUUAUAAAUAAUUUUAUAAAUUUGAUUUGGCGAUGAAAAUUUCUUCGAAAUAUAAUUAAUAAAAAUACAGAAUGACAAUAUUAUCGUGAAAUGAACCAUGUGUAGUAUCAUUUAUCCUUAUUAUUCCAAUCAAUACAAUCACAUUUGACUAAAAGGAAUAAGAAAUGAUGAAUUCACACAAACAUAAAAUUAAUCACUCAACAUCGAUGAAACAACAAACCAUUCCGCCACAAAUUUCCUAGAAUCUUGAACGCUUGCAUUCCUCAGAGAAGCCUUGAGGAAACCUUUGAACAUCAGCACAGUAGUUAUAGACCAUGUGGUGCUGCUGUACCCAACGGAGCCUAUUUCUUCCCUUUGCAUCAAGUUGUUGUGUUUGCCAUGCUCCGGAAUUGGCACAAGAUCUACCGGAUGUUCCGGAUACACAGCCAUUGGCAUUAAAGUUUCUGUAGUAUACAGUGAAAGGCGCUUUUGUCCAGUCCGUCUUCACUCGCCCGCCUUGUGUUGCCCAAUCGUCUGCAUUCCAUAAGCUGCAGUACACUCUCAUGGGUUGGCUCUUAGGAAACGGAAUGCCAAUUGCCUCGUGAUUGUUGAAUACUCUAAUAGGACUAUUGUCCACCAAGAAACUGAAUUUCACCGACAGAAUUAGUAAUGAUAUGCGCAGAUAAGUUAAGGAUAAAUGAAAAUAAGAUUCGAGGGAUUUUUAUUUACAUGAUGCGUCGAGGAUUCCACACAAUUGAGUAGGUGUGGAAAGCUGCUGUCGGAUCGAACCAGAGAUGGAAUUGCUGUUCUUUAUUUCCUUUCCCUUGGGAAUACACAUUGGUAUGAACAGUAUAUGGCAGUCCAGAUGCAUUGCCAAGAAACUCGAAGUCAAUUUCAUCAUGACCAGCUCCUUGAGACGAUAACUGCUCAUGGAAUUCAACGAUCAAUUAUUCAACAAACAAACUAAGCAUUAUUUGAAUAAGUUUGGGGUUAUAUCCAAACUGAUGGACAACUGAAGACUUACAAAAAAAGUGGUUACGGUUCCAGCAGAGUUUCCAGGAACAAGUUUGAGUUGCGUGUCAAAUCUUCCAAACAAGUACUCAUUCUUGGACUGAAAUCCAGAACCAGAAUACUGGUCAAGUGACAACGUCAACAUUCUUCCACCUUCGAAUAUCUUUCCACGCCCGUCACGCCAAUUAAUAUCAGCAUCUCGGUAGAAGUUACCAGCUGCAGGGAUUGUGAAACAGGCCAGGACUACAGAUAGUGAAAUCAUCAAUAAAUUUGCUAAAGCUUUAGAAUUAGAAAAGAAUGUCAUUUCUAGAAGAAGAGAUAGAAUGUGUUUGUUUUUGAUGAAUGAAAGUUGGAUUCUGAUAACCCUUUAUAUAUAGAUUUUGCACUCCGCUGUUGGAAGCUGUCAACUAAGCUGGACGCCAUGGAUUGAGAGUUGGCCAAGAUUAAUUGAACAAACUCAAGACAUAAUUAUUUCUCCGCGUAAGGUAUGAGCCUUUAUUAUCUCUGGCAUGGGUCCAACCUGAGGGGUUCUUUUUAGGCGGUGCAUUGAUCAAAAUGUACCAACCACGAUUACAUUGUUCAAAAUUAUUGAGUUAGAAAGAUAUAUGCAACUUAACUGAAAAUUAUGAUACAAAAUUAAAUCUUGUAUUUGAUUCUUAAAUCUCAUUAUGCAGCAUGAUAAUUUUUUUAAACAUAAUAAUUUAAGUAGGCAUCAUAUUUUGUAUUUUCCACGAACCUUCUCAUUUAGAUAAUUGUGAUACAAGCAAGAAUUGGGGUGGCCGAGUUGGUGAAGUAGGUGGGCAUGGAGGCCUUUGAUCACGAGUUUGAUUCCCUCUACCAAGACUUUUUCGAUCGAGUCUAUCGCACCGGGCUUGUUUAGUGCGAUUUACUUAACUGGUGUGGUUUGCAAGCUGUUGCAUCAACCUGAAGGUUUACCUAGUGCGCAUUUGAAGGACAGCGGCUGUGGGUUCCUCCGUCAUAAAAAAUAAAAAUAAAAAUUAGACAUUUACAUGUCAAAACUACUAGGCCGUCUUUUCAUAUUACGGUUUGGUCAUGGCUAUAUAUAUAUAUUACAUAUAUUCGUAUAUGUACAUAUCUACGUAUAUAUACAUAUUCUAUUUUUUUUUUUUAAAUUUAGUACGAUUUAAAAUGUAGUUUCAUUUUAAAUUGUUAGAAAAUAAUUUAAAAAUAUAAUUUAUUAGCAGCAGUUGAUGUAUGCCCAUCAUUAGAUUUUACAAUUAAAAUCAAGAAACUCAUUUUUUUUCCCCCGAUCAUUGAUACUGAGGUCUAGCUCAAGUAUAAAAUCAAAGUCUUACCAAGUCAGUGAUUAGGGUCGCCGCUCAGUUACGGGGAGAAAGGGUGAAAAUAAAAUAAAUGAAGGUCUUGUUGCCAUUGAAUUUCUUGAAUGUUUCUAAGAAUAUAGUAAAUUAGCUGGCAAUAGUUAGUACCUUGAAAUUCUAGACAAUAUUGAAAGAAUCACUGUUCAGUCACCUCAAAAUUCAAAUUAUGAGUGACAAAGGUGUAAAACUAUUGGACAUUUUUUUAGAUAAGCGUGAUAAUUAUUUCUAUUAUUGAAGAUGAUAUAGUUGGUGUAUACUUGCAAUAAUUGAUAGGAUCCACACAACAAGCCUUGUUGUUUAAUAUUAUUUCAAUAGGAGAUAGCUACGUGGAAUAAUAAAUUAUAAGGAGAAUUAGGAGUUAAAUGUUUCAUUUGUUGUUGAACUUAUACCUUUGUUACGUUUUUCUUGCUUAACUUUAAAAAGUUUUCAACGGAUCAUUGAAUUUUAACACGUUGUACUUCAUCUUCCACUCACAAUGGUAUAUAUGUCACUGAAUUUUAAAAUAAACUCGAGUAAUUGUUAAAUUUUAACACAUUGCACUCCAUCACUCACUUAUUAUGUUUCUGUUGACCUCCGAAAAUGGCCAACAUGUGUCGUUCGAAGAUAAGAUACACGUAGAUGUAUUUUGUAAUAUGUUGACUGAAAAUGUGUACGUUUGUGGAAGAAGGAGAUGGAAGGGACAAUUUUAUGAAGAAAUAUGCGUGUGUGUGUACUGUUUUCUUUUAUGUUCAAAGAUCCAUCCCUCUAAAUGAUACAAGAACCAGCUAUUUAUAGUGAUUAGGCCGACUUGGUUAUAGUUGGAUCCGAUCAACAUGGCCUGAUUUACAAGAUCCUGGCAUUGCAUCAAUUCUAUCUCACAUUAAUUAUAAUGGCAGACAUUUGACAAGGGGAUAGCCACUCUACAUACCUUGGCGUCGCAUCAAUUCUAUCUCACAUUAAUUAUAAUGCCAGACAUUUGACAAAGGGUUAGUCACUCUACAUCCCUAUGCUAACAUUCUUAACAUUUAUUUAAUAAGAACGUCACAUCAAUCAAUCCCUAAGAUACGCUUAUCAGACCCUCUUUUGGGAAUUAAGGACUUCGGAAGUUAUAGGGUUUGGACUAAGGAAGUAACCCCACUUCGGAUGAACAUAGGCUAGGACCACUUUGGAGAAUUCUAGUAAAAUGACCUCAACACUCAAUGCAACAACCUCGGCCAUUGAACUUAUCUAUGACUCUUCUUUUACUUGACCCAAUGCCACGUGUGUGACUAUGGAGCUUCCACGUGGACCUCAUAAGAUUGCUAUGUAUGAUCAGAAACAGUUUCAAUACUCACUGAACCUAUAACUCCAUCACGCUUUACACACUGAAUUUUAAAAUGCUUUUGAAUAUCAUGAUAUCUUCGAGUAAAGUUGGUUUUUUAUGAGAUUCAGUUUUGAUCAAGAAAAGAAAAUAAAAUAGAUAUCGACUAGAUAAUAAGUUCUAAAUCUGAGAUGAGAAUAUUGAUAUUGAUGAAGAAGACAUGAUUUUUCUGGCUGUCAAAGCUAUGUUCAAGAGGAAAGAACAAUACUAGCUUCAAAUUAACAUAAAUUUUAAUUUAGAUCAUACUCUUCUUUUACGUCGAGAAAAUAAAAUAAAAAAAUUAUUUAUUUUAUUCCGAUUGAAAUCGUAGACCCAAAUCAAGAACAUAAAAAAUUAUAUUUCAAACAGAUAGUGAAAUUUUCGAUUUAGAGUUAAUAAUAUUAAUCAAGACAAACAAAAUAUAAUUUUUAAAGUUUUCACAAGGUAAUUCGAGAGGAAAUAAGGGUGCUGUCUUCAUUUAUGUUAUUUUAUAUUUCAAAAUUUUUAAUUUUUGAACACGUGAGCUCAGUGAGUAAAGUGAGUGACCACUUGAAAGUAUUUUAAAGUUUAACGAAUAAAGUGGGAUGGAAUAUAAGUUGAGUAAAUAAUGAAAGAUGGUGAGUGAGUGAUGGAAUGUAAUAUGUUAAAUUUUAAUGAUCACUUGAAAACAUUUUUAAAGUUCGAUGACUAAUGAAACAUGGUGAAUGAGUGAGUGAUAGAGAGUAGUGUGUUAAAUUUCAGUGACCAUUGUGAAGCAUUUUUAAGUUCAGUGUCUAAAGUGUACAGUUACUAAUGACACACUUAACUUCGAGAACUAGUGAUUGGAUUGGAUAUGUUCAAAAUGAAUAAAGAUGGUGAAAGUUGUAAGUGUUAUGCCCUAGAUCCAAUCGAUUUAGGUUGUAAACGCUUUUAAUAUAUUUAAUGCAUUUGAUUUUGGCGAGAUCUAUUAUUUAUUUAAAUCAAUUUUGUAAUAAAUAAUAUUAAAUAAUAGAAUCCGAAGAUCCAAUUUUAGGUAAUCUGUUAAUCACAAGGAGUUGUGAUUGUGAGAUACAAAUUACAUAUAAUUGGAUCUUGAAUAAAUCAUGGUCAUAAGUAAUAACGAGAUACGGAUAUCGUUAAUACAGUUAGACCAUCACGUGUGACAUUUCUUACUUGUGAAGUAAGUAGCUGAUCUCACGAGCUAAAGUGUGGUGACACUUAAAUGAACACGUGAAUGUUUUGUUAUAGAACAAAACAUUGGAGACCCGCUAAGAGAUUCCACAUGGAUAACUAUCUGAGUGUCAGUGGCUAAUCUCUAACGUUCGGUAGUGGAAUUGAUCCUUUGACUUGAGGUCGUCAUAGUACCCUAUAUGAGGGCAGUCAUACUUUGGCGGUGUUGGAUGUUGCUCUGAAAGGGGCCGCAAAUACGACAUCGUUCGGGUACGUCAAGAAUCGUAUGAAAGUUGUGAUUGAUCAAUAAAGGAUUCGUCACUCUUAGAUAGUAGGAGAUUAUGAUCAGCGUUUCAUUCAAUUAAGUCGAUGAUGAAAUCCUUGGCCAAGGUGUACUCAUAAGUCGAAAAGGAGUUUUCGAUUUAUAUUGACUUAAUAGUGGAAUGAAAGAUAUGAUCAAUGAUCGAGAUUGACACAAUUCCAUAUCUCGUAAUUGAUCGGAUCGUAUUGACGAAGGGAUAAUAAUUUCACGGUAAACGAACGAAUUUGGUUUUGUCAUACCACGUGACAUUUCCCGUCACAUGUAUUGCCCUGACACAUUGCUAGAUAUCAAUCAGGGACGGCGAAUGUGAAUUGACGAUAAAUUAAAAGGGUGUAUUAAUUUAUCAAUUUUGAUUAGAUCAAAAUAAUAUUUCACGACGUUAGGUAUCGUGGUCGGGAACCUAAUGGGUCGCACACAAAAGGGAAUUGGAAGACUGUAAAUUGUCAAUUGAUUAAUUUAACAAUCGUUGGAUAAAUUAAUUAAUUGAAUUUGCUAUUUAUAAUCCCGAAUUAAUUAAUUGGAUUAAUUAAUUCACAGACCAGGUUUGAUUAAUUGGAUUAAUUAAAUAUUGGACCGGGCCGGGUCCGUUUGGGUUUAUAUAUAUACACAGCUAGGGUUUGAGGUCCAUAAGUUAUUCAUUAUUCUUGCUGGCACAAGAAAGAAACCCUAGCAGUUGCAGUCUACUCUCUGUGUGGAUUUCAUUGGAGGCUGGACUAUUGGACAGCUGUGGGAGGCAGAUUCAAGCUGCUGGAAAGGAAUAACGCGAAGGAGUUUGCAAAUCACAAGUAAAGGUAUAUUUCUCAUCACAGUUUUUAUCUAAAUACAAAGUUGAAUCCUGAAUGGGAAUUGAAAUUUGUUAAAUUCCGCUGUGCAUGUUUAAGUAAAUUCCCAACAAAAGUUACAUGCUAGUUCCUCAAGUUUUGCAAAAUGUGGCACUUCAGUCUUCAUUCUCAUUUUCGUGGCACAUCCAUCCCCAAACAACAACAACUAAUGUUAGCCGUCAUGAAAGUAUUCGUUGAUGGGUAUAAGAUUAGUUGUCUUAGAUUUUUUUUCCCCGGUUAUUUGAUAUAUAUGUGUUUUGCAUGUUUAUUCUCACUUAUAAACUUGAUAUAUAUUUGCGAAUUAAGUUAAUUUCUACACAAUUUUAAUGUAAAUCUAGUCAUCGUAAGUAAAAAAAUCCAAAGUUGGAAGUACUUGGAGUAGGGAAAAAAAAUUUAUUUCAAGAUAAAUUAGAGUUGGUUUGAAGCAAUUAUAUUAAGAAAGCAAUUGGAGGAAAUUCACUAAUUUCAAGAGUGAAAUUCAAAUUACAAGAAGUCUGGGACUAAUUGCAAACUUUCGGAACUUAAGGAAGACCAAUUUUGAAUGACUAUGGACAUUCGUGGACAAACGUCUUUGGAGUUGUGGGAUUAAUAUUAAAGAUUUGGAUUGAAAACGAACAAAAUUCGUUCAAUAAAAGCUUGAAGCAGGGACCAAAAUGCAAAAAGAGAACAUUGGAGUAUUGCAAUUGCAGCUACCUGUGGUCACCUUAUAGGGACUAGCCGUGGUCCGAUCGCAUUAUGCAAGCCGCAGUCCCCUCGUCUAUAUAAUUGUUUUCGGCUAUUAUUUUAUUUGCGGGUAUUUUGAUCCUUUCAUGCACUCGGUUUUCAAGGCAAAUUAGACGCUAUAUAAAGACUUAGUUUAGGUCAAAUCAAGGGAGAAAAUGAAAGAGAAUACACGGAGAAAGAAUAUAGAACAAAAUAGAAAAUCGAAGGUAAAGAUUUCAAGAUUUUGAUGUGAUUAAGAAAAAUUCUUGGUGUAAUUUUUCAUAUUUUUUACUUUUAUAAUGGUGAUUUUUUUUCAUACAUUUUGGUGUUUAAUUUCAAUUUUCAAGUUCUGCUUAGUUAAUUUUAUGUAUUGAUUUUACGAUCACUGAACUUAGUUAAUUUAUGAAUAUAACAAACCGAGAGAUGGUUAUAAAUUUAAACCAUAUGGUAAGAUUCAAUAAUUGGGUAAAAGCAAUUUACACAUUUACUAAUUUUGCAAUCUUCAGUCGAAAUCUUAGAUUGAUUUAAUGCGUUUAGUUGAGACUUAUUCAGAUUUAAAUAGAUAUUUAGUAAGUUGACUCAAUUAGGUAAGAUUGAUUUCAACUCAAGAUAUUGAUUUAAUUAGUGAAUUCAAUCUAGUAUACAACUAUAAGAACUAAACUCAUGAGAUAAGAUAUAGAAUGAUAAUUAUAUAUUGUGAAAUUGCACAAGCUUCAACAAUCAUAUUUAAUAGCUUAAUCAAAGUUAUCCAUAAUCUAUAAAAAAAAAAAAACAAAUAUGUUCAAUUGCUUCUAUAUUUCUUAAUUAAUAUUAGUUCAAUCAAAACUUUCCCUGAAUUUUUCACCAUAUUGGAGAAAUUAAUAAAAUUAUGGAAAACGUUUGGAUAAAUUUUCAAUAGACAAAGAAUGCCUGUUGUUAAAUAAAUUAAUAAAAUUAUAAAAAACUGAAUAUUACUUAGAAGACAUUCACUAAAAAUUCGGAAUGAUUUUUUACUUAGUAAAACGAAAUUAUAAAUAAUUAUAUAAAUUUGAUUUGCCAACGAAAAUUUCUUCAGUAGAUAAAUUAAUAAAAAUACUGAAUGACAAUGUUAUCGCAACAUGAACAAUUUAUAGUAUCAAUUCCAAUCAAUACAUUCACAUUUGACUAAGAGGAAUAAGAAAUGACGAAUUCACACAAACAUAAAAUUAAUCACACAACAUCGAUGAAACAGCGAACCAUUCCACCACAAAUUUCCUAGAAUCUUGAACGCUUGCAUUCUUCAGAGAAGCCUUGAGGAAACCUUUGAACAUCAGCACAGUAGUUAUAGACCAUGUGGUGCUGCUGUACCCAACGGAGCCUAUUUCUUCCCUUUGCAUCAAGUUGUUGAGUUUGCCAUGCUCCGGAAUUGGCACAAGAUCUACCAGAUGUUCCGGAUACACAGCCAUUGGCAUUAAAGUUUCUGUAGUAUACAGUGAAAGGCGCUUUUGUCCAGUCUGUCUUCACUCGCCCGCCUUGUGUUGCCCAGUCAUCUGCAUUCCAUAAGGUGCAGUACACUCUCAUGGGUUGGACCUUAGGAAACGGAAUGCCAAUUGCCUCGUGAUUGUUGAAUACUCUAAUAGGACUAUUGUCCACCAAGAAACUGAAUUUCACCAAUAGAAUUAGUAAUGCUUUGCAGAUAAGUUAAGGAUAAAUGAAAAUAAGAUUCGAGGGAUUUUUAUUUACAUGAUGCGUCGAGGAUUCCACACAAUUGAGUAGGUGUGGAAAGCUGCUGUCGGAUCGAACCAGAGAUGGAACUGUUGUUCCUUAUUUCCUUUCCCUUGGGAAUACACAUUGGUAUGAACAGUGUAUGGCUGUC
rnacentral:lncRNA from 1 species